rnacentral:rRNA from 1 species
UGCCUAAUACAUGCAAGUCGAGCGGCAGCGCGUCUAGUUUACUAGAUGGCGGCGAGCGGCGGACGGCUGAGUAACGCGUAGGAAUGUGCCCCAAAGUGAGGAAUAACUGCCCGAAAGGGUAGCUAAUGCCGCAUAUGGUCUUCGGAUUAAAGGAUUUAUCCGGCUUUGGGAGCAGCCUGCGUACGAUUAGAUAGUUGGUGAGGUAAUGGGCUCACCCAAAGUCGACGAUCGUUAGCUGGUCUGAGAGGAUGAUCAGCCAGACUGGAACUGAGACACGGUCCAGACUCCUACGGGAGGCAGCAGUAAGGAAUCUUCCACAAUGGGCGAAAGCCUGAUGGAGCAACGCCGCGUGCAGGAUGAAGGCCUUCGGGUUGUAAACUGCUUUUAUGAGUGAAGAAUAUGACGGUAACUCAUGAAUAAGCACCGGCUAACUACGUG